rnacentral:rRNA from 1 species
GACGAACUGUGCAAACGUUAUUCGGAAUCACUGGGUUUGAAGAGCUCGUAGGCGGUUCGGUAAGUCGGGUGUGAAAUCUCCGUGCUCAACACGGAGCGGCCACCUGAUACUGCCGUGACUCGAGUCCGGUAGGGGAGUGUGGAAUUCCCGGUGUAGCGGUGAAAUGCGCAGAUAUCGGGAGGAACACCAGUAGCGAAGGCGGCACUCUGGGCCGUGACUGACGCUGAGGAGCGAAAGCGUGGGUAGCAAACAGG